UUACGGCCGCUAUAGUGAACUCGCUAAGAGAUGAUACCAACUGCUGGACUCUCCUAGAUUCGCCCUUUAAAACAUGCACUCAGAUUUUUUACCAUAGUGGAAAGAAACCAUUUUAUACACUCAACGACCGUAGAAGCGAACUCGAAGCUUGGGAUCUUCAUAACAAUCCAAUUAAGAGGUUUGACUUUGAGAGCAUCAGACUGAAGUCUUGGGUGGUGAGCCCUUUCCUAUUUACAAGAGGGAUAAGGUUAAGUCAAAACUCCGAAGAUGGCCAGAGAGAAAGGAUUACUUGGUGUACGACCACCAAAGCGAGGAGCUUUUUGUUGUUACACGCCACGCUUAUGAUGAACAUGAUCUCCUUCCCAACAACAAGACUACAACUUUUGGUAUUUUCAAGGUUGUUUUCAUAGGCGAUCAUCUUGUGAAGCUUCAACUCUUGAAAAAGAAUAGCAUUGGCAAUAUUCUUGCAAUCUUCCUUAACGACUAUGGGGGUUUUACUCUCUCAACCACAAAAUUUCCUGAAUUAAGGCCUAGUUCUAUUUACUUUGCUGAUAACCGACCAGGUUGUUAUGACACUUAUUCCGAUUGGCGUUAUCAGGAUUUGGUAAUUUUUGACUACAAAAAAGAUAGCAUUAUGGACAAGAUAAACAACAUUUCACUGCUUCGUAGUUGGUUUAUCCCGGAUGCUUAGCAUAGCCUAGGCUUUAUUAGUAUUUCUUAAAAGCUAGAUCUGUAGAUUUAUCUUUAUUCAUUAUCUCUUUAUUUACCAUUCAGUCUUGCACUCAGUUACCAUUUUUUUCUUUUAAAGACUAUGUUUAAUUUCUUCUAUACUGACUUUUAUUAAUUCAAUUAGCCAGAGAGUCGAGAUUGCGUUGUAUUAGCAAAAAAAGAGCAAAGGGGGGUCUAGAUCUGACCUUAAUACAACACUAAGCCUAGGUGAAAGCAACACCCAAAAAAGACCAAAAGGCAUACAACAUCAACUGUUAGUGCCUUCUGGGAGAUGAAACCAAAAGUAAACUAACUUACAAAGAAAUUAGCUCUAUCAUAUUUGCACCUAAUGCUUGGUAGUUGCCAUUUAUCUAUCAAGAAAGCUACUCUAGCUUGUCUCAAAAGAUUGUUGUAAGAGUGAGUGAUGAGAAUUUGGUUUGAGUUAGAGGCCAGUUUUUCUAAGAAUUCUUCCAAUUUGAUUUCCUUCUCUAUAGCAGUGUUGAAGUUGCAUCUGGACUCUAUUUUUGGUGUUGUUGAUAUAGUCUAUUAUUGGUUUGAGCUUCAUAUUGGUCAUCCCAUUGUUGUUGAGCAUGCUAACUAGCUCCAUAGAGUCGAGUUCUAGAGUAAAUUAAAAUUGGUAUGUAUGGUUUGAUAACACUAUUUUAUGCCAAACUCGUCAGCCAUGGCCUCAACCAUGUUGCUACUACUGGAAUAAACAGGAAUAGAGAAGGCCAUGAUUAGUUCUCCAUGACUAUUCCUCCAAUUCCAGAUCUCCCAUUUUCACAAAUGUAGUUGCCAUACGAUUUGAUUUUUAAAGUCCCUGCACAAGGCAUUUUCCAUUUGACUUGUUUAAUCCACUGUAUUGCCCUAAGAUGUUCAGCUUCAAGACAAAAAACUGGCUAGUUAUUGUUCUCAUAAAAGCUAUUAAGAGUUCUUGUCAAAAUGCUAUUGACACUCCAUUGAUACUCCCAAUUUCUUAUAACACAUCUUAUUUCUAUGAAAAUAUCUUUAAUUUGCCCUCCAUAUUUGCAGGCACACCAUUGCUUUGAAAUCUCCCAGCAUAUAAUUGUGUUGGGUUCGAAAUCAAGAGGGCGUCAUGCGGAAGCUAUUAGUUGCAAACUAUGAGACGAUAAAUAAGAUGACAACGAAAAAUAACACUAAAAACAUAAUUUUAUUAUAUGAUUUGGCCAAUUGGCCUACAUAUAAAACCUAAUAUUUAAAAUAAUAUUAAAAAUCCUAAAACUUAUUGGGAGAAAUCUCCCCCUUAACAAAGACUCUUUAAAGACUACACUGUGGAUGCUAUUGUGUUAUGGUAUGAGAUGGGGGUGUUCUAUUUAUAGAGUUUCAAAACCUUUCCUCCAAGAAAGUGGUUAGUCAAAUAUGAAAAAGAAUUAUAUUUUUUCUUUCAGGAAAAGUAAAAGUAAUUAUGGUAACUUUUAUUUUCCUUCUAAGAAAAAAUAAAACCUAAAUAUAGUAAGAAAAUCAGGGCAAAAACCCUAACAAAUCUCCUUUUUUUGGCUUGAUUUUCUUUUAUUGAUCCGUCUUCUCUUCAUAUCAUGGGCAUGAACUUCGUUCUUGAUAUAAUCUUCAUAACUGCUGCUUGUCAUGGUUAAAAAUAAGGUUUAAAAUAUCAUGGUUAAAAAUUGGUUUAAAAGUAAUAUUUUAUUUUUAUUUUUAAAGAUGUAGCAACAGGAAUGUUGAAAAUAUGGUUGAAAUUUGUUCUCCACAUGUAGUUCGACAAAAAUCUUCAUUAUCGCCCAAAUUGUUGCAGCUUGAUUUUGAAACUGCUUUGAAUCUGUUUAAUCUCGUCUCACCACAUCAUUGGACCAUUGAACCGUAAGCUAUGAUACCACUUGUUGGGUUCGAAAUCAAGAGAGCGUCAUGCGGAAGCUAUUAGUUGCAAACUAUGAGACGAUAAAUAAGAUGACAACGAAAAAUAAUACUAAAAACAUAAUUUUAUUAUAUGAUUUGGCCAAUUGGCCUACAUAUAAAACCUAAUAUUAAAAAUCCUAAAUUGGCCUACAUAUAAAACCUAAUAUUAAAAAUCCUAAAACAUAUUGAUAGAAAUCUCCCCCUAAACAAAGAUUCUUUAAAGACUACAUUGUAGAUGCUAUUGUGUUAUGGUAUGAGAAGGGGGUGUUUUAUUUAUAGAGUUCCAAAUCUUUUCCUCCAAGAAAGAGGUUAGCUAAAUAUGGAAAAGAAUUAUAUUUUUUCUUUCAGGAAAAGUAAAAGUAAUUAUGGUAAUUUUUAUUUUUGAAAAAAUAAAAAUUAAAUAUAGUAAGAAAAUCAGGACAAAACCUCUGACAAAUUGUAGGGUUGAUCUUCGGCAUAAUUUUGUAAAUAUCAUUGACUGGCUUUAUGCCCCACCACGUCUUGAAAUUUGUGCCAUAAUUUGAUUAAUAUGUUGGAUGACCAGAGGAUUUCCUAGCGUGCUCCACACUUGUGUUGUUGCUUAGUCUUCUCCAAAAAUUUUGAUACCUUGUAUCACUUUGUACAUUCCUACAACAAAAACAAUCAUUUUGUGAGUUGAUAUUCAUUCUAAUAAUUAUGUCAUUGAAAGAAAGUCUCUUUUUAAACAUUCUCCAUAAGGAUAUUUUAAAAGGCAUCCUAGUAUGCUAGAGAUUGUUUAGAAAACUAAUUUUUGAUCUUUGGUUUCUAACUAGCUGUCAUGCGGAUAAUUAUAAAAAAACAUUUUCGGUGCAUUGUCAACGGGGCAAUCCUUCUCAGUGUUGUCACCUAUUGCUAGGUUGGAUAUCAUAUACACAAUGUAAUUGGAAACAAUAUUGUUUAACUUGAUGAUGUUCCAAGAAUUAUUUAGAAUGAAAGAAACCCGAGCCUUGGCAAAGCUUAGCCAAGGCCCCUAUACUUAUCGAAUUGUCCAACCAAAAACUAGAAUUGCCUUGUUGUACUUUUUAAAUAAUGUGUGGUUCUACUUGCUUUUUCAUUUUCAUCAAGCUUUUCACAUAGUUGACACUUUUCAAAUCGGAUGAGAUCUUUUGGAGUAUUUGCUGAUUAAAAAUUGAGCCUAGAGAGAAGUUUGAGUUUUGAACCUUCACCAUCUCUUUACAAUCAAGGAGUUGCAAAUAUCUCUCAUGCUUCUAAUUCCAAUACCUCCUUCAUCUUUCGGGAUACACAAGUUAUCUUACUUAGACUAGUGGUACUUAUUUUUGCCAUCACUAUCUCCCCAUAAGAAGUGAGCAAGAUGUUUCUCAAUCAGACUAAGAGUGCCAAUAGGAGGGUUAAUGGCUGACAAGGUAUGUAUAGGAAUAUAUUAUAGCACAUGAUUAAUGAGAGUGACAUUAAUACCUCCAUGAGAUAACAUUUACUUUGCUAUCCAUUUAUCCUUUUAACAAUCUUUGCAACCAUGUUAUCAAAAUAACUAUGAUCUUCUUAUCAUGGUAGAUUGGACAACCCAAACAGAAGAAGGAAAAAAAUUUAUCCAUGUAUCUAGUCAUUCUCCUAAGCCUGUUAAUUCUCUAUGGAGUCAUAUUAGGAGUAGUAAUAACGAAACUGUUAGCAUUAUUAACUAGUUGACCAGAGGCAUCCUCAUAUCUUCUAAUUUGAUAUAUAGUUUUAUUAUUACCCCCACUGAAAAUAACUAUGUCAUCAGCAUAUGUAGGUGAUUAACGAUGAGGCCAUUAAUGUUCAUGUUAAAAGUAGUAAAAUAAUCAUGAGAAUUGAAUCUAUUUAACAUUCUAAACAACAAUUCAGAGCCAAUUAUAAAAAGAGAAGGGAAAAGAGGAUCUCCUAGUUUAAGAUCAUGUGAGGAACUAAGAAAACUCACUCUCACACCGUUGAAGAAUAGAAUACCACAUGUUGAUGAUGAUUCUCCAUAUCAGUUUAAGUCAGAUACCCCCUAAAUUAAAAAAAAAAACAAAUUGUUUCAUGACGCUCAUUAAAAAUUACCAGAACAUUUUGUCAUAUGUCUUAGUCAUGUCCAAUUUCAUAAUGACAUUGCCCCCUCUACUGAGUGGUGCCGCUCUAGCAAGAGCUUCUAUAAUUAUUUGAAGCUCUAUAUUUGAAGGAUCAUUUGCUACCAUUGCUUGAUGAAGGAAAAAAAAUUAUAUUUAAAUUCAAGAAAUUUAUCAUGCAUAGAAAGUCCUAAUAUUAGGGUAAGUAUUAAUAUCACAAUUUUAUCAUCAUCUUAUUCAUUUUUAUGUGUCUAUUGUAUCAAAAAUAAGUUUUUAUUUUAUUUCUCCAUUUCAAUAUCAUAAUAAAACGAGUUUAAAUUUUAUGCGUUGUGUACAAAAUAUUCUACACCAGGUAAAUUAAAUAAUUAACACCAAGUUUGCAUAAUUAAAAUUUAGGAAAUAAUUUUAAUAGAAGAAUCCUAAUUGUACUCUAACAAGAUUAGUUAUUAUUUCCUUUUAUAAAGCAAAUCAAAAUCUAAUUUUUCCAUAUUUCUCUCUCAACAAAAUCAUCAGAAUUAAUGAAAUAAUUUUGCAUGCUUAAUGACAUCAAACUUGCAACAAAUAAUUUUUCCAAUCCAUCGACAUCAAUAUUCAAUAAUUCUUCAUGCCAUAAAUGCUUUAAAUUGCAAGAAGUAAUUCUUCCAUACUUGAAACUGUUGAUCCUCAAAAUAUGGUCCUCAUUUAUUUUAGGUAAGGGAGUCAAUUGAAUCCCUUAUUAAUCAUACCAUCGGCUCAUUAAAAUUGGUCUUUCUUUCUACUACAUAUACCAUCUAUAUAAACAAAUUGUUGAAGUAAUAUUGAAAUUUUGUCUCUCAGUUGUUCAUUGGUGAUGAAAAACAUCCUGGGCAAUUGCAAAUCUUUGUCAAUGUUAGCUGCUAAUUAUAGCUCAUGUCGUAGAGCUUGUUUGUCCCAGCUUGUCUCAAUUAACAAUUCAUUCAUGGCGAGACGCAAUUGCUAUAAUUUGCCAAUGUUGUCUUCUUUGUGUUCGACUUAUUCGAGUAGUACUACUUACUGUUCCUGUUCCUACUCCUACGGAAAGAAAAGGAGAAGGAGGAUCUCCUUGGUUGAUGCUGACUCCGCCCCCGGAGAACACAUCUGUCUACAAAUUCUACAUACCGUCCAAAAAAGUCAUGAGAAUAGUGCCAGUGAAAGGUACUCAUCAGGAGCCAUCUGAUUCUCAUUCCGUCUUCUUGGGAUCACCAUAUCAAGGAUGGAUGGCCUAUAUACGACGAAAAGAUUGGCAAUAUUUUCUAUUUAGCCCACUCUCUGGCAAAAAAAAUCAUCCUUCCACCCCUUGAAUACUCUCUUUCUUGAAAAAGUAAGUUGGAGCGACAGAUCUGGUAUGGUCGAAAGCUUUACUUCAAACCACGACGACCCGAAUACUCGCGAUUCCCCAGAAGAUUAUUCCAGACACAUUAUUAGAGAUGUUGUUCUCUCGUCAUCUCCUAUGGAUGAUGGUUGCAUAGCUUUGAUUAGUUUAUUGGGUUCAAAGUAUAGAUAAAGUGUGAAUUGAAAAUAGAGGAAACUAAGUGGAAGAAAAAAUAGAAAAGAAAACACUAAAAUGAACAGUGUACACUAAAAUGGAAAGUCUACUAUUUCUUCCAUAUUGGUGGGAGAAUGUGACUUUCAAGUGUUUAUAUUAAGAAAUACUUAUUCCACUUGGUAAGUGAGGCAAGAAGUAAGAGAUGCCUCGUGCCGUUGUCGUCGCUCGCUCGGCUUCGGCUUUGGAUCUAUGAGAUCUAUCUUUUUGGACAAAAUUUAUUUGACAGAAAUUUAAUCCGAAGGGAAAAACAUAGUAAAUUAAUUUUUAUGUUUUGAUCCUCCAGUUAUAUGCAUGCAUGCAGUAUUUCGAACUGAUGCUUCAGAAGGACACACUGAUUCAUGAAAUGGUUUGCCUGUUCGGAAAAGAUGCAAUCUUUGGACGAACAGACAUGAUUUUUCAGGAAAAGUCUCACCUUUAAGUGAACCAUUGCCACUUUUCCCAAGAGGCAUAUGAAGGCUAUAUAAAUCUGCUUUCAUCCACAGGUUUAGACACAAAUUUUCUGAAUUACAAACUCUCUUCUUGUUUUCAAAACAUUCUGUGUGAUCAAUCAAACUGUUGAGUGAGUUCGUUGAAUUCAACAAUUUGAGGUACCGCCAUUGUUCGGAUUGAAGACCAUUUUAUCCUGGGAGGAAGAUUCCAUAACCUCGGGUACAGUGAGGGAAAUUAUUCCUUAAGGACACUCCAUAAAGUCGGGGGACUUGGCCUUACAAAUUCUAUUUCAUCUAUUUUCUGAAAAUAAACACACUUCUUAGAUAGAUUAUUUAUAAUCUAGUGUUAAAGGUGUUAAGUAACUUCAAAAGUGUUCUUAUCUUAGACUUGAACUAGAGUUGAAGUUGGUGUUGCAUGUAUACAGAUUCUUGUACCCGAACACCAUACAAUAACAAUCUUAAGGAAUAAAGUUGCAGAAUCUGUAUUGCUUGUUUUUGGAGAUUAAAGCUUUAAGCUUUCUACUCCGUUUGAACUUAACUAAUGAUUCGAAGACAUAAAAUCUUCAUCACAAGUUAAAGAUCACUCGGUUGACGAUUGAAAGUCAUAAAAACUUCAUCGUUAACUAGAAACAAGAAGAAGAGUUUAAAGUUGCUUAACUUUAUAAGUAGUAUUCUAAAAAUACUAAAUUUUAUUGUCUUGUGGUGACAGGAAAAAUGACUAACGAAAGUCAAAUGCAAGAUGCGGCUACGAAUGUAGGGGGCAACUAGUAUUGCCUCAACAAGUCGAGCAAAUGCUCCACAACCUAUGGCACCUGCGGAGAAGCCCAGAAAAUUUGUGGGCAUUGACUUUAAGAGAUGGCAGCAGAAGAUGUUUUUCUACCUCACAACACUAUGUCUUCAAAGGUUCAAUAGUGAGGAUGCUCCUGAGGUGCCCGAGGGAACCUCGGACAAAGAGCGUUUCAUAAUUGUAGAGGCUUGGAAGAACUCAGACUUUCUUUGCAGGAAUUAUAUCUUGAGUGGUCUCCAAGACGACCUCUAUAAUGUUUACAGUGGAACUAAGACAUCAAAGGAAUUGUAGGAGGCACUAGAAUAAAAAUACAAGACAGAGGAUGUGGGAAUCAAGAAAUUCUUUGUUGCAAGGUUCCUGGACUUUAAAACGAUAGAUAGCAAAUUGGUUGUCUCUCAAGUACAGGAAUUGCAAGUAAUCAUCCACGAUCUCUUAGCGGAAGGUAUAUCUUUAAAAAAUACCUUAGUUGAACAAAUUGAAAAUGUUCUUAGUACUCAUAUAAACUAUUUGUAGGUUUGAUUGUGAAUGAUGCAUUUCGAGUAGCAGCGAUCAUUGAGAAACUACCACCUAUGAGGAAAGACUUCAAAAACUACUUGAAGAACAAACGCAAGUAGAUGACUGUCUAAGAUCUUAAUGUCCGACUACGUAUUGAAGAGGAUAAUAAGGCUACCGAGGGAAGGUCAAAAGGGAAUUCUACAAUUAAUGGAGCACAUAUUAUAGAAGAUGACUAAAACAAUUUUAAGAAAAGGAAGAAAGUUGAACCAGAAAGCAAUAAACCCAAGAAGAAAUUCAAGGAAAAGUGCUUCAACUGUGGCAAGAUUGACCAUAAGUCCAUGGAUUGUUGUGCCCCUAAGAAAGGCAAGAAAAAGGACCAAGCAAAUAUGAUUGAGUCCAACAAAGAAUGUGAUGAUCUGUGUGCUAUGUUUUCAGAAUGCAACUUGGUGGGGAAUCAUCAUGAGUGGUGGAUGGAUUCUGGUGCCACCCGUCAUGUUUAUGCAUACAAAGAGUUGUUUUCGUCAUUUACUUCGGCUCAAGUAGAAGAAAUGGUCUACAUGGCUAACUCCGCUACGGCUAAGGUAGAAGGAACAGGAAAAGUGAGCUUGAAAAUGACUUCAGGAAAGGUCUUGACACUUAACAAUGUCUUGUACGUUCUGUAAUUACGUAGGAACUUGAUUUCUAUUUCACUUCUAGAUAAGAACGGAUUCAAAUGUGUAAUCAUUUCUGGAAAAAUUAUAAUUAGCAAAGGAGAAAUGUAUGUAGGAAAAGGCUAUCUCACCGAGGGACUUUAUAAGAUGAAUGUAAUGAGUGAUGAAAUCAAUAAAAAUUUAAAUUCUUCUUACUUGCAUGAGUCUUAUUGUGUGGAAUGAACGUUUAGGCCAUGUUAAUUACAAAACGUUACAAAAAUUGAUUAACUUAGAGGUUUUGCCAAACUUUGAGUGCAAUAAAUCAAAGUGUCAAACGUGUGUGGAAUCAAAGUAUGCAAAGCAUCCUUAUAAGUUCGUUGAAAGAAAUUCCAAUCCCUUAGACUUAAUACACACUGACAUUUGUGAUAUAAAGUCAACACCAUCACGUGGUGAGAAAAGUAUUUCAUAACUUUUAUUGACGAUUUCACUAGAUAUUGUUACGUCUACUUGCUAAAUAGUAAGGAUGAAGCAAUAGAUACAUUUAGGAAAUACAAAAAUGAAGUAGAAAAUCAGUUAGAGAAAAAAAUAAAAAUGAUAAGAAGUGAUAGGGGCGGAGAAUAUGAAUCUUCCUUCGCCGAAACAUGUGUAGAGAAUGGAAUCGUCCAUCAAACUAUGACCCCGUAUUCACCUCAAUCUAACGGAAUUGCGAAAAGAAAAAACCAAACGUUGAAGGAAAUGAUGUAUGCCUUACUUAUAAGUUCCGGUUUACCUAAAAACUUGUGGGGGGAGACCAUCCUUACAACCAAUAGUAUACUCAAUAGAGUUUUUCAUAGUAAGACACAAUCAAAUCCUUAUGAAAAAUGGAAAGGAAGAAAACCCAACUUGAAAUAUUUUAAAGUAGGGGGUGUCUUGCUAAGGUCCAAGUUCCUAUGCCUAAAAAGGUUAAGAUAUGACCUAAGACUAUAGACUGCAUGUUCAUAGGAUAUGCUAAAAACAGUAAAGCAUGCCGGUUUUUAGUUCAUAAAUCUGAACAUCCGAAUAUAAAUGAAAAUACGAUAAUUGAAUUAGAUAAUGCUGAAUUCUUUAAAAACAUUUAUCCGUAUAAAAUUAGACAUGAAUAGUCUAGUGAAGGAUCUAAAUGACCACGAGAUGCACCAAGUGAGAAUGUACAUAAUGAAGAGAAUCCAAGAUGUAGUACACGUCAAAGAACGUCUACUUCAUUUGGAUCAGAUUUUAUAACAUUUCUCUUAGAAAAUAAGCCUCAAACAUUUAAAUAAGUGAUGUCGUCAUCAGACUCAUCCUUUUGGAAAGAGGCAGUCAACAGUGAGAUUGAUUCAAUCAUAAGCAACCAUACGUGAGAAUUGGUUGAUCUUUCUCCAGGAAAUAGACCUUUAGGUUCUAAAUGGAUUUUCAAAGGGAGAAUAAAAGUGGAUGGUACUAUUGACAAAUACAAGGCAAGACUUGUAGUAAAAGGCUUCAAACAAAGAGAAGGCCUUGAUUACAUUGAUACAUACUCGCCGGUAACAAGGAUAACGUCGAUUCGAAUGUUAAUUGCCUUAGCGGCGGUAUAUGGUGUUGAAAUCCAUCAAAUAGAUAUGAAAACCACAUUCUUAAAUGGACAUGUGGAUAUGUAUUUACUAUCAGUGGAGGAGAAGUCUCUUGGAAAUCGUCCAAACAGACUUGUAUUGCUCGCUCUACAAUGAAAUCUGAAUUUAUCGCAUUGGAUAAAGCCGGUGAAGAAGCAGAAUGGCUCCAGAAUUUUUUGGAAGCUAUUCCUUAUUGGCCCAAACCAGUGGCAACAGUAUGUAUACACUGUGACAGCCAAGCGACAAUAGGUAAGGCAGGGAGCAUGAUGUACAAUGGUAAAUCUCAUCACAUACAACAGAGACAUAAUACCAUUAGAGAACUUAUUUUUAGUGGAAUUAUCACUGUUGACUAUGUUAAGUCAAAGGAUAAUGUGUCGGAUCCACUUACAAAAGGACUAUCUAGAGAAGGAGUGGAAAGGACAUCCAAGGGAAUGAGUUUAAGGCCUAGGACAAGUCAGCAUGGCGGUAACUCUACCUAGCAGACCGGAGAUUCCAAGAGCUAGGUUCAAGGAGAUCAAAAAAUAUUGUGUCUGACAGGUUCAACAUUGACAAUUAACCAACCCAUUCUCAUGAUGUAGACAAUGGUUAGUAAACAAGGAUAAGACUUAAGGUGAAAAGUCUUUUAAUGAUUAUCUAAAUUUGGCAGAUUUGACCAAAUAGGUUAAUCUAUAGGAUUGAACAUUCAAAAAUCACCUAUGUGAAGGCGAAGUGGAAGCUGUUUCAAGGAUGAUGUCAGUAAAGGCCUAUUCUCUAAGCUCUCAUGAAACCGGGACGUGUUCAUGGCUGAAAAAAAUAAAAUCAUGAGAACCAUAAACGGUAAAAGGCUGGUUGUGUGACAUGUGUUGUCUAGUUGUACAUUAAAGCUCGAUGGUUCAACUAUAUCAAAUCUACCAAUUGACCGAGUGCAUCUGAUGCAUGUUCACUACGGAAAGUUCAAAGAGAAACCCGUUUAUCCAGAUGCAAUCAGUCUUUGCUUGAUGAUCACAUACUUAUCCAUAAAAUUUUAUGAAAAAUAGUCAUUCCCCAUUCAUGUGGGGGAUUGUUGGAUUCAAAGUAUAGAUAAAGUAUGAAUGGAAAAUGGAGAAAACUAAGUGAAAGGAAAAUAGAGAAGAAAACACUAAAAUGGAAAGUGUACUCUAAAAUGUAAAGUCUACUAUUUCUCUGACAUUGGUGGGAGAAUGUGACUUUCAAGUGUUUAUAUUAAGAAAUACUUAUUCCGCUUGGUAAGUGAGGCAAGAAAUAAGAGAUGCCUCACACCGUCGUCGUUGCUCGCUCGGCUUGGCUUCAGAUUUGGAUUUGAAUUUGUCAAAUGAUCGAUUGAUGAGAUCUUUCUUUUUGGAAAAAAUUUAAUCCUUCAGUUAUAUGCAUGCAUGCAGUGUUUCAAACUGAUACUUCAGAAGGAUGCACUGUUUCAAAUUGAUGCUUCAGAAGGAUGCACUAUUUCAAGCUGAUGCUUCAGAAGGAUGCACUGUUUCAAACUGAUGCUUCGGAAGGAUGCAAUCCUUUGAUGAAAUAACACACUGAUUCAUGAAAUGGUUUGCCUGUUUGUAAAAAAUGCAAUCUUUGAACGAACAAACAUGAUUUUUCAGGAAAGGUCACACGUUUAAGUGAACCAUUGCCACUUUUAAGAAGAGGCAUAUGAAGGCUAUAUAAACCUACUUUCAUUCACAGGUUUAGACAUAAAUUUUCUGAAUUACAAACUCUCUUCUUAUCUUUAAAAUAUUCUGUGUGAUCAACAAACUAUUGAGUGAGUUCGUUGAAUCCAACAAUUUGAGGUACCGCUAUUGUUCAGAUUGAAGACUAUUUUAUUCUAGGAGAAAAAUUCCAUAACCUCGGGUACAAUGAUGGGAAUUAUUCCUUAAAGACACCCCGUGAAGUCGGGGGACUUGGCCUUACAAAUUCUAUUUCAUCUAUUUUCUGAAAAUAAACACACUUCUUAGAUAGAUUAUUCAUAAUCUAGCGUUGAAGGUGUUAAGUAACUUCAAAAGUGUUCUUAUCUUAAACUUGAACUAGAGUUGAAGUUGGUGUUGCAUGUAUACAGAUUCUUGUACCCGAACACCAUACAAUAACAAUCUUAAUAAAAUUAUUUAUUUAUUAUAUAAUAAAAUAAAGUCACAAUAUUGGAUUAAUUAGUUGACUUAUAUGAUGAUUGUUAAGAAAAAGGUGAACAGUCGUGAAUUUUUUCUUAACAAUCAUCAUAUAAGUUAAGUUAAUUAAUUAAUCCAAUAUUGCGACUUCUUUUUUAUGAUAUAAUAAAUAAAUAAUUUUAGAAAAUAAAUUUAAAAACAAAAAUAGUAAAAAGUCACGAUCAGUUAUUGAAAUAUAUUAUGUGCAUAACAUUAAUGGUCAUUACCAUAAAUAUUUUGAUAUUUUAUUUGAUACAUAAUAUAUUUUUUACAAAAUAUAUUCUUAUAGAUAAAAUAGUUUUACAAAGAAUGUACCACUAUAAUAAAUAACAUUGUUGUUAUAGAGAAGUAAAAUAUAACAUGAAAAAUCGAGUUCGAAGAAAAUCAGACCACUAUAAGUGAAAUGUCACUAUAACGAGGUGACGUUGAAGAGAUGUCUGAUUGAAUCUAUAUCUAUAUCUAUAAUAUAGAUAUAGAUAAGGUGUGAAGAAACUUGGGGCUUUAAGCUGUAGGUGACACAAGUUUUAAUUAUUGAGUGGAGGAGACAAUUACUUUAUUAUGGAUUAAUAAAGUUGGGAAAGUUUGAAAAUAACCUACAAGUUUUUUAAUCUAUACUUUGAUCCAAAUGUUAGUUAAUAUAAUAGGAAACGGGGGGAAAAGACGCGUUUCUCUCUCUUCUCAUCCAUUGUUAUUUUCUCUCUCUUCAUGAUUAUUGUUGUUCAUUGUUGUUGUUGCUUUAUUCAUCAUCUUCUGCUUCAUUAUCAUCAUCUUCUACUUCAUUAUCAUCUUCAUCUUCUUCUUAUCGACCAUUGUUGUUGUUGUUGUUACCACUACUUAUGCUAUCUGACCAAUUUCUUAGCUAAAAUUUUAUUUUCUACAUCACUUUCUACUUUGACAUUACUUCAUAGAUGACUUCGGUAAGUAAAAUUAUAAUUUUUAUUUGAAUUUGUCAUCUGGGUACACAGUUACUACUAUUUUUCCAACAAUGGAUAGAACCCGAUCAUGAAUCCAACAUAAGUGCCCACAAUUUAAAAAGAUCACUCAUCUGGUGCAUCAGAUGAGUAAUCUGUUGCAACUGAAGAUUUAUCUGUUUCUGUAGACUAGUUAUUUGUUGCAUCAGACUGAUUAUCUGUUGCCUCAGACUGCUUAUUUGUUGCCUCAGACUGCUUAUCUAUUGCAACAGAUGAUUAAUUUGUUUGGAACAAUAUAAAUCAGCCCCUACCACAAACCCAACAGAUAACCAAUAUGUUUCAACUGUUGCUAUGUAAACUGGAUUCAAAAUUAUUUUUUACGUUUAAUCGUCGACUUGUUUGUUGAAAAUAUAAUAGACAGAAUGAAAAUUAAAUACUUCCUCGGCUAAAAUUAUCCGUUCCAAAUUUUUUAAUUUAAUUUCUCAUUUUACUUGUCUUUUUUCAUUAAUCAUGUUUUACCCUUUGCAUUAAUCACUUUUUCUUCAAAUUAAAAUGUAAACAUCAUUUAAUAGGGGCAUUAUGGUAAACUAGGCAUGUUAUUAAUUAUUUUUCUUAAUUAAUGUGUCAUCUCAAUUUUGGACGGGUAAUUUGAGAUGGAGGGAGUAUGAAUUAGAAUGUCAAAGCCGUGCAACAGACUAGUUAUCUAUUGAUAUAGACUAGCUAUCUGUUGCAUCAGACUGCGUAUCUGUUGCAACAUAUGAGUAAUCUGUUUGGAACAACACAAAUCAGCCCCUGCCAGAAACCCAACAGAUAAAUCUUGCUAUUGCUACUGGAUUCAAAAUUAUUCUUUUCGUCCAAUCGUCGACAUGUUUAUUGAGAAGGUAAUAGACAGAAUAAAAAUUAAAUAUGAUUUAAAACGUCAAAGUUGAUCAAACAUAAUUUUUUUAUUAAACUAAAACAAAUAAAAAUACUUACACAUAGACGAGGCUAAAAGAAAAAAGUAAUCUUCUUCUUUUUCUUCUUCUUCUUCUUCUUCUUCUUCUUCUUCUUCUUCUUCUUAUUAUUAUUAUUAUUAUUAUUAUUAUUAUUAUUAUUAUUAUUAUUAUUAUUAUUAUUAUUAUUAUUAUUAUUAUUAUUAAUAUUAUUGCCAGCCGGCCAAUCUUCCACAGGUAGCAGCAAGGCCCUCCUCAACCAUCGGAUCUCACGGAGCAUCCUUGCUCUAACUGCUCCCAGUUUUCAUUGCAGGUCAUGAACCUGCAUCUGAAGUUCUUUCAUGGUGUCUUGUAGAAUAGCCAUGUCUUACACUGGAUCAUCCAUAUCUAGAAUACAUAUGAAUUGACAAAAAAUGUAAAAAUAACAGUAAAGAAAAGAAUAUUCGAAUGUAAUACAACGCAUAUACUACAAAUUGGCAAGAAAAAAACUUACCUGAGUCAGGAAAGAGAAAAAUGUGGAAGGUGUAAUACGAAAGACAAGAUGCAAUAAAUAAAUGGAGUGUAGCUGAAUGAACGAAUGAGUAAAGAGAGACCUAUUUAUAGAGAAUUGAAUUUGAAUAAGUGACAAAAAGGCGCAACUGUUCACCUCUAUUUAUUAAUUAUAUUUUUUAUUACUGCGAAAAGGUAUAACUUCAAUUAAAUUAAGAAAUAUUGUGAUAAGUCAUGACUUUUCAGAUUAUUAUUAUUAUUAAUUAGUUCUUUCAAGAACCAUUUUUAUUAAGUUGUGACAACAGAUAUAUCAUCUAUUGCAACAAAUAGAGAACCUGUUGCAUCAGAUAAUCUAUCUGUUGCAAUAUUUAAUCUAACUGUUCAUCUCGAUUUAUUAGUUAUAUUUUUUAUUACUGUGAAAAGUUAUGACUUCAAUUAAAUUAAGAAAUAUUGUGAUAAGUCAUGACUUUUCAAAUUAUUAUUAUUAAUUAGUUCUUUCCAAGAACCAUUUUUAUUGAGUUGUGACAACAGAUUCUAUAUCUGUUGCAUCAGAUAACUCAUCUGUGACAACAGAUAUACCAUCUGUUGCAACAAAUAAAGAACUUAUUGCAUCAGAUAAUUUAUCUGUUGCAACAUAUAAUCUAUCUUUUAAAAAAAAUAUCAUCAUAUCAUUAAUUCAAAUUUGCUGACUUUUUUAUUAUAUAAAUUAAAAACAUACCUUUGAAUAACCGUUUCUUUAAUAAAAUAAUAAAAUUUUUUAUUGAAUUCUAGUAACAGAUUGUAUAUCUGUUGAAUCAAAUAAACCAUCAGUUGCAACAGAUAUAAUAAUAACCAUUUUUAUUGAGUUCUGGUAACAGAUUGUAUAUCUGUUGAAUAAGAUAAACCAUUAGUUGCAACAGAUAUACGAUCUGUUGCAACAAAUGGACGAUCUGUUUUAAUAGUUUUUUUUAUUUCUUCUAAAAACUAAUACAUCAGUCACAACAGAUGGGAAAUUUGAUGCAUCAGCAACAUUGUUGAAUGUGUUUUAGACAAAAUGUCACUUUGACUUUAAUAAUUGAUCGUGAAUUUUCACCAUUUUUGUUUUUAAAUUUAUUUUUUCAAAAUUAUUUAUUUAUUAUAUAAUAAAAAAAGUCACAAUAUUGGAUUAAUUAAUUAACUUAUAUGAUGAUUGUUAAAAAAAAGGUGAAUAAUCGUGACUUUUUUCUUAACAAUCAUCAUAUAAGUUAAGUUAAUUAAUUAAUCCAAUAUUGUGAUUUCUUUUUUAUUACAUAAUAAAUAAAUAAUUUUAGAAAACAAAUUUAAAAAUAAAAAUAGUAAAAAGUCACGAUCAAUUAUUGAACUUUUUACACUUCAGUAAAAGUCUUCGCAAUAGAUAAAAUUAUUUAAUUUAAAAUAGUCAAACGUUACAAGUACGAGACAGUGUGUUUAAACUAGUUAACUUAAUACAAAACGAGCUCAAUUACUCAUCAGAAUAUUUAUUUAGCCACUCAAACUAAGCCACGUUCCGAUUACACACCUCAAUUCCUAAUAAAAUUUCAAUUAACCACUUUUAGUUUUAAUUUUAAUUUUUUUUGUACGUGUAUAUUUUCACUCAUAUGUUAGAUAGCUAAAUUAAGUAAUUUAUAAAAGGACAAAGUCAUCGAUAGACACUCAAACUUGUUGCCAAAAUUUACUUAGAUACACCUAAACUAAGGCCUGUUCCUAUCAGAUCCCUAAACACCCCACAUUUUGUUCCAAUUGGGCAUAUUUGGCCUACGUGGCACUGCGCGUGUUGUUUAGUCGCGGGUGGCGCGUGACUUGUGAAAAAGUUGUCUAUGUGGCAAACAUUAACGUUAUUUAACGUUACUUUUGUCAUCCCCUUCAAUUUCCCUCUAUUUUUACCUAAUUUCAUCUUCUUCUUUCUUUAUUCUCUCCUCCAUAGCUGAUUUUCCUCUCAACCUCUCUCAUCUCACUAUCAAAUUUAUAUCAUAAUUUCUCUUAAAUCAAAUUUUUUUUCAUUUUCCAUGAGAUUGUCGGAAUUCCGUUAACAUUGAGGUUCUCGAUUUGUGUUAUUGUUACGAAUUUUGUCCAUUAAGAACUUCAUCAAAUCCUGGUCGUAGAUUUUUUGGAUGUAAAGUUCCAAAUAUUUGUAUCAUUUUGACAGAUUUUAAUUUUAUUUUUUGAUAAUUUUUUAAUUAUUCUUCAGUUUUUGCAUUUUAGGAAAAUGGUGGAUGUGGGUACUUUAGAUGAAUUGAUUCAAAACCUUCAAUUUUUGUGCAUCAAUAUCCUGAGGUAGAAUCGAGCUUAAUGAUAAAGUGCAAAGGUGGUGAAAAUUCGUGUGAUCGAUUGAAGCAAAAGCUCAAAGAUGUUGAACAAGAGAGGGACACUUUGUGUGAGAAAUUGAAAGAUGGUGAAGAGAAGUUGAUUUCAUUGAGGCAAAAACUCAAAAAAGUUAAACUUGAAAGGGAAUGUGCUAAGCUCAAAUUGAAUAGACUUGUUCUACUUCUUCUCAUUGUUCUUACUGUAAAGUGGUUCUUUACUAUGGUGUAAUGGUUAGUUUGUUGUAGUUGUUUGGUUAGUUUAGUUUGUAAUGGAUUUGUAAUGGUUAGUUUGUAGUAGUAGUAGUUUGUUGUAGUUGCUUGGCUAGUUUGUAGUUUGUAGUAGUAGUUUGUUGUAGUUGCUUGGUUAGUUAGUAGUGGUAGUUUGUUGUAGUUGUUUGGUUAGUUUAUAGUAGUAGUAGUAGUUUGUUGUAGUUGUUUGGUUAGUUUAUAGUAGUAGUAGUAGUUUGUUGUAGUUGUUUGGUUAGUUUGUAGUAGUAUUAGUUUGUAGUAGUUAUUUAAAUGAAUCCACAUGUUUUGUAUACAAUCUUAUUGUCAAUUGGCUACUUUGUGUCUAGUUGUGUAGCUACUUAACCAUAUAGCCUAUUUGUAACUACUGAAGGUAUUGAUAAAAAUGAACUAUAUUAGAAGCAUCACAUCCAUCUUAUUAAAAUUGCUCAAGAUUGAACUAAAAGUGCAAGCAGCUGGAUAUCAUAUUUAUACAACUCAAAAUUGAGCUAAAACUGCAUACAGUAAUCAAGGUGUUCAAAUAAAGCUCAACAUUGAGCAUAAUAGUGUUCAACUGCAGCAUACACCAAAAUCAUUAAUUGCUGCCUAAGAAAAAGUUGUUCAAAAACUAGUAAAACAAUUUGUUCAAAGUCAUUAACCCUAAUUACAGUACAAAUCAUUUCUAAAUGAACUACUUCUUUGAAGAUCCAACUGAUGAAGAAGAAUUGGCUGCAUCCAUUUUUUUUUCUCUUAUUUGCUUUCAUUGUUGCAAUUGUGUAUUGGUGACUGCAUCUUUUCCAUUCCAUUUUAGGCUACUAGGUUUAAAACCAAUAUCUAUAUUGGUUGGUGAGGUACUCUUUAAAUUUAUACCCUCAGAAAGAACCCUCUCAGUUGAUGUACCAGGAUGCAAAAUUAGAAAUAAUUGUAAGACAAUGAACAUUGAAAACUUGAAUGAAAACAUUGUUAUAGAUAAAUAAUGAGACAUAGAGAAAUACAUUGUACACUUGGGUUUCAGUUAUUGGAUCAGAGUAAACACCAAAACCAGUUGCAGGCCUUUUGUAUGCAGUAGCAGCAACAAAUGAGGUAGCAUUGUAUGGCCUCUUGUUGGUUGGCAAAGGUGGUACUUGACUAGAAAAAGUAUUUCUUCCACUUUCAAAUGGGGUCCCUUUUGCAUUGGCUAUUUUUCUUGCCAAUCCUUUACCAAUCCCUCCUUGACCUCUAUCAGAACCACCCGCCUCUCAACACCAUAUUGAACCCUACCAGAACCACCUCCCCUAUCAGCACCACAUUGACCCCGACCAGAACCACCUCCCCUAUCAACACCACAUUGAACCCGACUAGAACCACCUCCCCUAUCAGCACUACAUUGACCCCUACCAGAAUCACCUCCCCCGUUAACACCACAUUAACCCCUACCAGAACCACCUCCUCUAUCAGCACCACAUUGACCCCUACCAGAACUAUAUUUACCUCUACCAGCAGCACAUUAACCUCUACCAGCAGCACUUGACACCUUUCUUUGAGGUGGUCUUGGUACAGCAGCUGUGUCAGCACAAAUAGAUCCUGAUUGAUUGGAUUGUGUAGUUGCAUAUGAAUGAAAGGCGUAGCUUGACUGUGAAUAAAUGCAACACAAGAUUUUCAACAGUUUUUAAUAAUAAUAUUAAGAAGGAGGGGAAUAUUAAGGUAGCAGAACAUAUAUAACUUACUCUUGCUAUCUGACUUUGAGUGUAGGUAUCUCUUGCCAUUGCAUUGGUGUCACUACAAAUAGAACUUGAUUGUGGUGGUGGUGGAUUCCAUGAAGCUGAAGGCUGAGUGCUAGGUUGACUACUAUUACUGCUUCCCAUACCAUUCUAACAUACAAACAUAAAUAUAAAAAGUUAAGAAAUAUGUUAACUUUACAAAGUAUUAUGAAAAUUCAUUUAAGGCUUACCAUUUUGGCACACAUAGUCUUGUUAUGGCCAACUUGCUUGCACCUUGAACAGGUGAUCUUGACACCUUUUUUUUUGAGAGUUUGCCCCACUUUUUUGGCUCAUCCUUGCUCUUUCUUCUGUUCUUGCCAGGUCUUCCUGGCAUCUUUCUUGGUUUUGGAGGUUCAAUUGAUGGGUUUUGGGUUUCCGGCCAUAUUCUCAUGUUUGUAAUUGGUUGCCUGAAAUGACUAUAAGACUUAAGAAAGGUUUCUAGCAACCAGCUUUGAAUCACACAUCUUGUUCUUGUUUAGAGGUAUACACUUGUGAAUAGGGUUAUAGUUCUUCACAAUAAAAUCACCCGAAUCCCCAUCAGUAAAAGCAAACAGCAACUAGUUGCAAUUGGCUGUAAUGUACAUCGCCCUUAUUCUAUUUUUUCGUUAGGUUUUAACUAUAACUGCCUUCUAUACUCUACAGCAUAAUCUGCAUCGGCUUUUCUAAACUGUUUUACACCCUCAAAAAUCAUCCCAAGCUCAAACAUAAAAAACUCACAAUUUUCAUCAUACCUAGUUUUCUUACUUCUUCUUCAUCUAGGUAGAUCUACUCUUCUAACAGCAUCCACAUCUAUAUCUUUACCAUCUUCACUCCAACAAUCAAAACUAUCAAGAUUUUCCUCAUCUCCACCCAACUUUCCAGAAUAUUUGCUAGCCUUAUUUUUACCAAUAUCCCCAAAGUCUCUAUCUACACAACUAGCAACUCUCACAGGUACUUGUUCAGUUUCAACAACCUUUUUUCUUGCUUUUUGAUUUCUUUGUUUAUUGUUGGCUUUGUUUUUCCUUCUUUCUUAUCUAAAUGCCCUCAACUCCUCAUCAACAUCUGAGCCAUCUUCUGAAGGAAUAUCUCCAAGAUCUGAAUCAUUACUCAAGUAAUCUGACAACUUAUUUGCUAGCCUGUUAACAUCUUCUACAUGAAUAUCUUGUACAUCAGCCUCAUCACCUCCUUCUACACCAAAAUCUUCUAGGUUAACAUCUUCUACAUGGAUAUCUUCUAUAUUAGCCUCAUCACCUUUUUCUACACCAACAUCUUCUACAUAAGUCUCCCUCUCUUUACCUAAGUUAACAUUCUCUAUCUCAAUAUCUUCUAGGUUAAAAUCUUCUAUAUCAACCUCCCUCACUUCCUCUACUCCAAUAGAUUUCCUCUCUAUGUUAGCACUAUCAUCAACACCAACACUUUCUCUUUUUGGGUCUGCACACUCAAUAAUAUCAGGUGCAGGUAAAAAAAUCAGUGGGACCAUCAGGGUCAAGAAUUGGUUCAUCUGAAACAUGAUAGACAUAAAAAUCAAUAGAGUCCUCAUGUUUUAAGUCUUUAACUAGUUCAACGAGAUGUCUGUCACUCUUCACCAGGUUGAACUGCUUAGUUACUGCAUCUUGAUAAUAAAACCCCCUAAUAGUGUCAUACCCUAAUUCUUUAGUAUAAAAUAACAAUUCCAGCAUGCAAAAGUGGUCCUUGUCAAUAUACCUUAGCUCUGGCACACAACUUGCAGCAUAUGUAGGGAUACCCUUGUUGAAAAAAGAUCCCCCAUGGUGAAAUUUUGUGAAUAUUAUCUCCAUUUGUUACGUCACCUGCAACAAAAGGGUAAGAAUUCAAAGUUAGUUAACGGAAUAUACUCAAAGUAAACACCAAUAAGUUAAAAGCUACAACUUUUAAUGCAUAUUAAGAAAGAGACGAAAUAUUCCCAAAAUCACAGCCUUAACAGUGAAAUUUCAAAACCCUAAAAACUGAAAUAUGCUAAAAUUCAACAAAAUUUAACAAAUAUAAAUCAUAAUAACACUUACACGAGGAAGAUCUGUGGAAAAUCCCCAAAUUUCUUCUUCGAUUUGAGUGGAAUUUUCGUUAAAUUAGGGUUAAUUUUAGGGUUAUCUGAGAGAGAAUUAACGGGGAGAGAGAAAAACGGCCAAAAUGAUUUCUUUUUCAUUUAAAAUGUAAUAAGUACACGUGGAUUUAGUUUAUCCACGUGGAGAGUUUUACGUGGACAACUUUCCACAUCAGUUGCGUUUGGAGACACGCGCGAAUAAGCUGAUGAGAAUAGCGAAAAAAAAUGUCCAAUUGGAAUCAAAUGUGGGGGAUUUAGGGGUCUGAUAGGAACAGACCUUAGUUUAGAUGUCUAAGUGAAUUUUGACAGCAAAUUUAAAUGCCUAUCGAUGACUUUAAACCUCGGUCAUUUUCUGCAUAUAAUUGAAGCCGACAUAAUUAAUCCUCAUUUAUUUUUUGGUUGUGCACAAGUCAUUUGAGUCCUUUAUACUGGGGACACCGCCCUAAAACGAAGGAAGUCCUUCUUCCCGUGCAAGUUACAUACUGUGAUCAAUUUUAUAUUCUCUCCGUUUCAUAAUAAAUGAAUUAUUGAAUUUUGACACAUAGAUUAAAAAAAUAUUAAAAACAUAAAAUUAACAUAACUUUCUAUUUUUACCCAAAAAAAGGAAAAAGUUGACCUUGAAAUACCUUUUCAAAAGUUAAUUGGUUGUCAAAUCAUAAGGAUAAAUUUGAAAAAAAUUUUAAUGAUUCACUUAUUUUGAAACACCAAUAAAUGCUCCCAACAAUUAACUUAUUGUGAAACGGAGAAAGUAUUAUGUUUGAACUAUAAUAACAGUUAAUUAUUAGGAGUACUGUAUAGACAAGGCUAAAGUAAUUUGAAUUUUUUUAAUUAUCUCUCAUUAAAGCAUGGCCACUUUUUCAUUGGCAGUGAAUAAUAUCUUUGGCAAUUGCGAAUCUAAUUUGUCAUUCUUAGCUAUUGCUAAUACUUGUCGAAGAAUUCAUUCAAUUGGUUUUCGCUUCUCAAAGAAUUGCUAUGCGUUACCAAUUUUGUCUUCGACUUAUUCGACUACUACUCUUCCUAUUCCUACAGAAAGAAGAAGAGUACCUUGGUUGUUGCAGCCGCCUCCGGAUUAUCAGAACUCAGAAGAAGAGCAAUGUCUAUAAAUUCUACAGGCUGUUGGAAAAGGAUGUGAAAGAAGUUGUAGUCGAAAGUGAUCCACCUCCUGAUGCUGAUUCCCGUUGUUUGGGAUCAGCGUGUCAGGGAUGGAUGGCUUAUAUACGGAAAAAAAAGACUCUCAAGUAUUUCUAUUUAACCCACUCUCUAGCCAAAAAAUCAUCCUUCCAUCCAUUGAAACCCUUCCCACUGUUAAGGGCGUCAAUCGGAACAGCCAAUCUGGUUUGGUUGAAAGCUAUAUGUCAGUUUUCGGCCCUCACCUGCGUCCCAUUUCCCCAAAAAUAUUUUCUGAAAGAGUCAUCUCAGAUGUUGUUCUCUCGUCAUCUCCUAUGGACGAUGACUGCAUAGCGGUGGUCACUUACGGCCGCGAUAGUGAAGUCGCCUUCUGCAGAAUAAGAGAUGAUCCCAACUGCUGGACUCUCCUCGAUUCGCCCUUUACAACAUGCGGUCAGAUUGUUUACCACAGUGGAAAGAAACUAUUUUACGCACUCAGCGACUGUAGUAGCAAAAUCGAAGCUUGGGAUCUUCAUAACGAUCCAAUUAAGAGGUUUCACUUUGAGGAGCAUCAGACUGAUGUCUUGGGUGGUGAGCCCUUUCCUAUUUAUAAGAGGGAUAAGGUUAAGUCAACACUCGGAAGACGGCCAGAGAGAAAGGAUUACUUGGUGUACGACCACCAAAGCGAGGAGCUUUUUGUUGUUACGCGCCACGCUUAUGAUGAACCUGAUCUCCUUCCCAACAACAAGACUACAACUUUUGGUAUUUUCAAGGCUGUUUUCAUAGACGAUCAUCUUGUGAAGCUUCAACCCUUGAAAAAGAAUAGCAUUGGCAAUCUUGCAAUCUUCCUUAACGGCGGCUAUGGGGGUUUUACUCUAUCAACUACAGAAUUUCCUGAAUUGAGGCCAAGUUCUAUUUACUUUGCUGAUAACCGGCCGUGUUGUUAUGACACUGAUUCCGAUUGGCGUUAUCAGGAUUUGGUAAUUUAUGACUACAAAGAAGAUAGCAUUAUGGACAAGAUAAACAGCAUUUCGCUACUUCGUAGUUGGCUUAUCCCUGAUGCUUAGCCUAGUCUAGGCUUUGCUGGUGUGCGGCCUAUUUUAUUAGUAUUUCUUAAAAACUAAAUCAGUAGAUUUAUCUUUAUUAACCUCAUUAUCUCCUUAGCUUGUGUCCCAUUCGGUCUUGCACUCAGUUUCUACUUUUUUCUACAAGAGUAUGUUGAAUUUCUUCUAUACUGACUUUUUACAAAAGAUCAGAAGGCUUACAAAAUCAUCUGUUAGUGGAGAUGAUGAAACAAAAAUCAAACGAACUUACAAAAAAAUUAGCUCUAUCAUAUUUGCACCUAAUGCUUGACAAUUGUCAUUUAUCUAGCAAGAAAGCUUCUCUAGUUUGUCUCGAAAGAUUGUUGUAAGAGCGAGUGAUGCGAAUUUGGUUUGAGUUGGAAGCUAGUUUUGCUAAGAAGUAUGCAACUUGAUUUUCUUCCCUAUAGCAGUGUUGAACUUGCAUUUGAUAUUGUUGAUAGAGUCUAUCAUCGGUAUGAGCUUCAUAUUGGUCACCCCGUUGUUGUUGAGCAUGCUAAGUAAGGCCAUAGACUCGAGUUCUAGAGUAGAAUUUGAUAUGUCCGAAUUGAUCGCAUCAUUUUACGCCAAACUCGGCUGCCAUGGCCUCAACCAUGUUGCUACUACUGGAAUAAACAGGAAUAUAUAAUAGAGAAGGUCAUGAUUAGCUAGGUCUCAUGACUAUUCCUUCAAUUCCAGAUCCCAAUUUUCACGUUUGUAGCUUCCAUCUGAAAGUGGAUUUUUAAAGUCCUUGCACAAGGCAAUUUGCCAUGUGACAUGUCCAAUUCUCCGUAUUGGCCUGAGACAUUCAACUUCAAGACAAAAAUCUGGCCAGUUGUUCUUCUUCUUCCCAUGAAAUCAAUUAUGCAGGGUUCAUGUCAGUUUGGCACCUUAGUUUGUCUAUCAAAAUCUUUCUUUUUCAGACAUUUUCAUUAAUAUCAUGUUUGAGUACGAGCCCUACUAAUUGUCUAUCAGUGGAACAGGUAAGUAAACGUGGUUCACAGAAGUAAAAGCUGAACACAGUAUUUUUACGUGGAAAACACCCGGCUCAAGAAAGGUGUAAAAAACCACGACCUGUACCUCUACAGGAUUUAACCCCAACUUCACUAUAAUACUUGAGCCACAACAAUCAACAAAGUUGGAAAACUUCUUGUAAACUAAGAAUUAAAACUUCUAACUCCUAUCACUACAAAAACACAAAUCUUCCCAAGAUAAGUGUUCCCAAGUCUUCGAGUUCCCUAACUUGAAGACACAACUCCUAACUCAGUUUAUAGAUCACUGAGACUAGAACAAUGACUCAUUACAAAGAACCUACCUACUACACACAGUCUACGACUUAGGUAAGGAACCAGGUUCUUCUUCAAGUAUGAGAACUGUUUUGCUGAUUGUUGAUUUUCUUUUCAGUGCAUUGAGUAAGUUACUUGAUCGUGCUUUGUUGUAUAUAUGCACACUCAUAAUUCACCUGUGAUGGAGUCCUAGUUGAUUUAUGCUUCUUUCUUCUUUCAACUCUAUCAAGUAACUUCACUCCUUGUUGUAGCCGUUUCUCCUUCCCUGGUUGAAUAGGACUCUUUUGCUUUAUCCUUUAUCCUUGCA
rnacentral:lncRNA from 1 species